GGGGGGGGGGGGGGGGGGGGGGGGGGGGGGGGAGGGGGGGGGAGGGGCGGGGGGGUGGCGCCUGUGGCGGUGGCGGCGGGCGGGUGAGUAGCACGUGGGUAACCUACCUAUAAGACUGGGGUAACUUCGGGAAGCCGGAGCUAAUACCGGAUAAUAUAUUGAACCGCAUGGUUCAAUAGUGGAAGACGGUUUUGCUGUCACUUAUCGAGUGAUCCCCGCCGCAUUAGCUAGUUGGUAAGGUAACGGCUUACCAAGGCAACGAUGCGUAUCCGACCUGAGAGGGUGAUCGGCCACACUGGAACUGAGACACGGUCCAGACUCCUACGGGAGGCAGCAGUAGGGAAUCUUCCGCAAUGGGCGAAAGCCUGACGGAGCAACGCCGCGUGAGUGAUGAAGGUCUUCGGAUCGUAAAACUCUGUUAUUAGGGAAGAACAAAUGUGUAAGUAACUAUGCACGUCUUGACGGUACCUAAUCAGAAAGCCACGGCUAACUACGUG
rnacentral:rRNA from 1 species